rnacentral:piRNA from 1 species
UCAGAUAUAUUAAGGGGUGAUGUGGCAAU